rnacentral:rRNA from 1 species
UACGAAGGACCCGAGCGUUAUCCGGAUUUAUUGGGUUUAAAGGGUGCGUAGGCGGAUUAGUAAGUCAGUGGUGAAAGCCCAUCGCUUAACGGUGGAACUGCCAUUGAUACUGCUAAUCUUGAGUAUGGUUGAGGUGGGCGGAAUGUGUCAUGUAGCGGUGAAAUGCUUAGAUAUGACCCAGAACACCAAUUGCGAAGGCAGCUCGCUAAGCCAUAACUGACGCUGAUGCACGAAAGCGUGGGGAGCAAACAGG